ACCCUUGAGCCGGAUUUGAACCAGCAACCUAAGGAUCACCGUUGAACCAUCCUCCGCUCUGCCAACUGAGCUAUUGAGGG